rnacentral:rRNA from 1 species
CCCUGAGAUGUUCUGGGCUGUGCGCGCGCUACACUGAUGCGUUCAACGAGUUUAUCACCUUGCCCGAUAGGGUUGGGUAAUCUUUUUUAAAAUCGCAUCGCGAUGGGGAUAGAUUAUUGCAAUUAUUAAUCUUCAACGAGGAAUUCCUAGCAAGCGCGAGUCAUCAGCUCGUGCUGAUGACGUCCCUGCCUUUGUACACACCGCCCAUCGCUCCUACCGAUUGAGUGAUCCGGUGAAGUCUCCGGAUUGGCGCGCACCUCGGUGCCGCCGAGAAGUUGGCUAAACCUUACCAUUUAGAGGAAGGUGAANUCGUANCA